rnacentral:lncRNA from 1 species
GCUCAACCACGGCUACCCUAUCCAUUUUAGUGCCAGUUCAAGUACCUCCACUGCAGCAAGAAGCAUGCAGAAUUCACUUAUCUGCUUGAUGGCUCUCUCCACCUCCAGAAGUGGCAUCGUCCUCUCUAAACUACAAGCCAGCCGCAUUAUGUCUCACAAAAAGCCAACGCUUGUUGUUAAAGAAACGGCACAGGCAAUUUGGACACAAUCAGGCCUUGCCAUUCGAAGCGUAAAACGUGGGCUUGCGCCAAAAAGCAAGAGGCACGGCUGAAAUAGCCAAACCAAGGCUGACGCCGGAAAAGGUGCAAGUUGUUGCAGAACCAGCAGUAACCUGGAGGAACAGUUCCGAUGCCACCCAGGACAAUGUCACCAGAGUUUUUCCUUCCAUGUUGCCCCAUUGUUGUGCCAGUGCCGUGAGCAAAAUAAUUACUGCUCUGGCACACCUGACUACACCAUACCCACUUCUCU